CCUACGGGAGGUAGCAGUGAGGAAUAUUGGUCAAUGGCCGGAAGGCUGAACCAGCCAUGCCGCGUGAAGGUCAGUGCCCUAUGGGCGUUAAACUUCUUUUGUGCGGGAGCAAUAAUGGUCACGUGUGGCCAGACGAGAGUACCGUACGAAUAAGCAUCGGCUAACUCCGUGCCAGCAGCCGCGGUAAUACGGGGGAUGCAAGCGUUAUCCGGAUUUAUUGGGUUUAAAGGGUGCGUAGGCUGUAAGGUAAGUCAGCGGGGAAAUGCCCCCGCUCAACGGGGUGAAGUGCCAUUGAUACUGCCUUGCUGGAAUGCGGAUGCCGUGGGAGGAAUGUGUGGUGUAGCGGUGAAAUGCAUAGAUAUCACACAGAACACCGAUUGCGAAGGCAUCUCACGAAUCCGCGAUUGACGCUGAUGCACGAAAGCGUGGGUAUCAAACAGGAUUAGAUACCCUUGUAGUC
rnacentral:rRNA from 1 species